AUGGCGGAGGGGUUCGCGGAGGAGGGCCGCCGGGGCGAGGAGCCGGAGUCGGUGACCCCGGCGGCGGCGGCUGGGUCCCAGGGGCUCGAGGACAGCCGGCUGCUGCGGUCGCGGUACCUCGCCGUCAAGAGCCAGAUCAACGACGAGAAGGAUGAAAUGGCGAGUGCGGACUCCGUCAAGUUCCAGUCCGUCAUUUCGCAGGUGGAGAGCCUGCACGUACAUGUUCAUAAGCCCAGGGAGCAGGUAGCUGAUGCAGAGGCAUUGCUGGACAUUGCCAGCAGUUUGGCAGCAUCUGUAAGGUCCCAGUCAGCACUAGGAAUCACGCCUUCUCAUUUAGUUGCCGCACUCCUCAACAAGUUUGGGACACAAGGAGAUGCCGAUGGUGAGGGUGCCUCGUUGAGAUGGUCUGCUGUUGGGCUUGCUGCGUCUCAUGUCUUCAUGGCUGUGCCUGGAUGCUGCACCAUGUUUGGUCCCAUGACGACAGAAGUGAAGCCACGGAGAACACAUACCAUUAGAAAAAGGACUGCAAGGCCGAGUAGAAACGAUCGCCCUGAACAGCUUGCUGAUCCAGAGACAACGACUGAUACAGACAGGAACAUGGCUGCUCUGUUUAAUGUUCUGAGGAAGAAGAAAAAAGCAAGGCUCGAAAACCUUGUUUUGAACAGAACGUCCUUUGCCCAAACGGUGGAGAACAUAUUUGCCUUGUCAUUCCUAGUUAAAGACGGCAGAGUGGAAAUGAAUGUGAAUGACGAUGGGCAUCAUAUCCUCUCUCCAAGAAAUGCACCUGCAGCUGGUGCAAUUGCCUCAGGAGAAGUGAAAUACAACCAUUUUGUCUUCAGAUAUGAUUUUAAAGACUGGCAGCUCAUGAAAGGGAUCGUCGUGGAGGGGGAAGAACUGAUGGCGCACAGGCCGCCUUCUCUCAGCACGUCUGGAGGAAAUACCCAGGCGGAGAUGCCUUCUCGCAGCACGCCUGGAGUAAAUAACCAGGGGGAGGUGCCGGCACGUGGCACGCCUGGAGGCAACGAGGAACCCAUGACGCCUGCGCAUGGCAUGUCCGGGGGAAACAACGAGCCUGAGAUGCACGCGCACACAACUUCAAUCAGGAAGCACUGCAGGAACCGGGGCCUGGUCACACAAGCGCGGCAAGACGAGACGACAGCCAUGGACAAUACGCAGGAUGAGGCGAUCCGCACGGUGGUCAAGCGGGAGGACAUGGAGAUGGCCAAGGACAGGCAGGAGAUGGUCCAGACGUACAAGCGCAAGCGAUCUGAUCGCCAUCCACCCGCCGGCGGCCACCGUGCACAUGCGUCUUGGGGUUCCUUUGGCGUCGGUAAAGAGUUUACCCGGCUGACCUAG
rnacentral:rRNA from 1 species